GAGUUUGAUCUUGGCUCAGAUUGAACGCUGGCGGCAUGCCUUACACAUGCAAGUCGAACGGCAGCACGGGAGCUUGCUCCUGGUGGCGAGUGGCGAACGGGUGAGUAAUGCAUCGGAACGUAUCCUGGAGUGGGGGAUAACGUAGCGAAAGUUACGCUAAUACCGCAUAUUCUGUGAGCAGGAAAGCGGGGGACCUUCGGGCCUCGCGCUCUUGGAGCGGCCGAUGUCGGAUUAGCUAGUUGGUGAGGUAAAGGCUCACCAAGGCGACGAUCCGUAGCAGGUCUGAGAGGAUGAUCUGCCACACUGGAACUGAGUCACGGUCCA
rnacentral:rRNA from 1 species